rnacentral:rRNA from 1 species
GACGAACGCUGGCGGCGUGCCUAAUACAUGCAAGUCGAGCGCAGGAAGCCGUCUGAACCCUUCGGGGGGACGACGGUGGAAUGAGCGGCGGACGGGUGAGUAACACGUAAAGAACCUGCCCAUAGGUCUGGGAUAACCACGAGAAAUCGGGGCUAAUACCGGAUGUGUCAUCGGACCGCAUGGUCCGCUGAUGAAAGGCGCUCCGGCGUCGCCCAUGGAUGGCUUUGCGGUGCAUUAGCUAGUUGGUGGGGUAACGGCCCACCAAGGCGACGAUGCAUAGCCGACCUGAGAGGGUGAUCGGCCACACUGGGACUGAGACACGGCCCAGACUCCUACGGGAGGCAGCAGUAGGGAAUCUUCCACCAUGGACGAAAGUCUGAUGGAGCAACGCCGCGUGAACGAUGAAGGCUUUCGGGUCGUAAAGUUCUGUUGUAAGGGCAGAACAAGUGCCGCAGGCAAUGGCGGCACCUUGACGGUACCUUGCGAGAAAGCCACGGCUAACUACGUGCCAGCCGCCGCAGUAAAAC